rnacentral:rRNA from 1 species
CCCUCAGACGUUCUGGGCCGCACGCGCGCUACACUGACCAGUGCAACAAGCAUCCGUCCUUGGCCGACAGGCCCGGGCAAUCUUUGAACGCUGGUCGUGAUGGGGAUAGACUUUUGCAAUUUUUGGUCUUCAACGAGGAAUUCCUAGUAAACGCAAGUCAUCAACUUGCAUUGAUUACGUCCCUGCCCUUUGUACACACCGCCCGUCGCACCUACCGAUUGAAUGGUCCGGUGAAGCCUCCGGAUUGGCGCGCACCUCGGUGCCGCCGAGAAGUUGGCUAAACCUUACCAUUUAGAGGAAGGUGAANUCGUANCA